UGUUUCGGCUAGGGGGCCAUCCCGGCUUACCAACCCGAUGCAAACUGCGAAUACCGGAGAAUGUUAUCACGGGAGACACACGGCGGGUGCUAACGUCCGUCGUGAAGAGGGAAACAACCCAGACCGCCAGCUAAGGUCCCAAAGUCAUGGUUAAGUGGGAAACGAUGUGGGAAGGCCCAGACAGCCAGGAUGUUGGCUUAGAAGCAGCCAUCAUUUAAAGAAAGCGUAAUAGCUCACUGGUCGAGUCGGCCUGCGCGGAAGAUGUAACGGGGCUAAACCAUGCACCGAAGCUGCGGCAGCGAACGUAUCACUUAAAGCGAUUCAGCGGGUUACGAUUGACGGAGCGAAGCGACGUCAAAGCGUAUACAAAGUCGAGUCGGUUUAAGGAUACGUUCGUUGGGUAGGGGAGCGUUCUGUAAGCCUGUGAAGGUGGCCUGUGAG
rnacentral:rRNA from 1 species